rnacentral:rRNA from 1 species
AUUGAAUGCUGGCGGCAUGCCUUACACAUGCAAGUCGAACGGUAACAGGUCUUCGGAUGCUGACGAGUGGCGAACGGGUGAGUAAUACAUCGGAACGUGCCUAGUAGUGGGGGAUAACUACUCGAAAGAGUGGCUAAUACCGCAUGAGAUCUACGGAUGAAAGCAGGGGAUCGCAAGACCUUGUGCUACUAGAGCGGCCGAUGGCAGAUUAGGUAGUUGGUGGGAUAAAAGCUUACCAAGCCGACGAUCUGUAGCUGGUCUGAGAGGACGAUCAGCCACACUGGGACUGAGACACAGCCCAGACUCCUACGGGAGGCAGCAGUGGGGAAUUUUGGACAAUGGGCGCAAGCCUGAUCCAGCAAUGCCGCGUGCAGGAUGAAGGCCUUCGGGUUGUAAACUGCUUUUGUACGGAACGAAAAGCCCCGGGUUAAUACCCUGGGGUCAUGACGGUACCGUAAGAAUAAGCACCGGCUAACUACGUGCCAGCAGCAGCCGCGG